ACAGGGUGACAGGUGGUGCAUGGUUGUCGUCAGCUCGUGUCGUGAGAUGUUGGGUUAAGUCCCGCAACGACGCGCAACCCUCGCCUCUAGUUGCCAGCAUUCGGUUGGGCACUCUAGAGGGACUGGCCGGCGACAAGUCGGAGGAAGGUGGGGAUGACGUCAAAUCAUCAUGCCCCUUAUGACCUGGGCUACACACGUGCUACAAUGGGCGAUACAGAGUGACGCGAAGCCGCGAGGUGGAGCAAAUCGCAGAAAAUCGCUCUCAGUUCGGAUUGGAGUCUGAAACCCGACUCCAUGAAGGUGGAAUCGCUAGUAAUCGCGCAUCAGCAUGGCGCGGUGAAUACGUUCCCGGGCCUU
rnacentral:rRNA from 1 species